UACGAAGGGGGCUAGCGUUGUUCGGAAUCACUGGGCGUAAAGCGCGUGUAGGCGGUUGCCAAAGUCGGGUGUGAAAGCCUUGAGCUUAACUCAAGAAAUGCACUCGAUACUUGGUGACUAGAGGACCGGAGAGGAUAGUGGAAUUCCCAGUGUAGUGGUGAAAAUACGUAGAGAUUGGGAAGAACACCAGUGGCGAAGGCGGCUAUCUGGACGGUUUCUGACGCUAAGACGCGAAAGCGUGGGGAGCAAACAGG
rnacentral:rRNA from 1 species